rnacentral:lncRNA from 1 species
GCUGUGAAACAGUUACAUGCUGUUAUUCUAGAAUUUUCAGUUGUACAGUUUCUUCAUAGUCAAAACCAAAAACCUGUUAGCACCAGCAAGUACUGUUUUCAUUAACCUCUGUAGAUAAGCUGAUCAUUUCUGAAUAAAAUCGCCUAUAAAUUUGGAAUAAUGCAGUCUAAUGCCCAAGGAACAUUUGAGGUAGCUAUUGAAUGGAUUCACGCACAUCUACUCCUUUAUGCUUCAAGCAUGGCGCUUGGAGUCCGUUUGUGUUGCUGUGGUCUCUUGCUUUAACCAGCGUAGGCAGAAUCUACCAGCCAACUCAAGAGCAACCUGCUGCUGAGCUGGAACCUGCAAGAAACAGAAGUUUGUUUAUAACCCUCCCAACAUUAAGAACCUGAAAAACAGAGCUGUGCCACUUCCAGAUUAGAAAAGAACAUUUCUGUAUUUUCACAUUCUCCUGAAAUUCCUUAUGUAUGUAUUCCUUUGUACUCAAAUAGUUUUUCAUCCUAUUUUCUUUAAGAAGGAUGUAGAUUUAUU